GAUCCACCCGCCUCGGCCUCCCAAAGUGCUGGGAUGACAGGCGUGAGCCACGGCGCCCGAGAGGCCGCUGCUCUUACCGAAGUGCAGGAAGACCUUCUGCUCUCUCCUCUCCGUGAGCAGCUGGUCGUGGGACAGGAGGUCUGCGUACUGCUGCUGCUUGAUUUUCUGGAUGAUGGUUUCUGCCUCCUGGAACAAGAACAUGCCCAGGCCUCUGGAGAGAAGCCCUGCUGAUCCAGGCCUGGCAAGCUUCGGGGCUGGGGGCGGGCAGCUGGAUGACACAGGCUGCAGAGUGAUGGUGGCAGGGUGGCCGUGACAGUUAUGGGAACCGGGCAUGAGCACAGGGGAACCAUGAGGAGCAGCUGAGGCUCAGUAACAGAAACAGUGUUGAGCCCCCAAGGGGAGCAGCCGCCUCAGCCCACUUAGCUCACAUAUCUCCAUGACCACCUGCCCCGAGCUGACUCAAGGGAUCCUCCAUCUCCUGCAGCCCCAGCCCCAGGCGGGCAGCCCCUUACCCAGGUAGGCAGAUCCACACGGUAGUUAAGAUCCCCAAACCAGAAGAGGUGCGUGAAGCGGUGAGUGAUGUUAAAGGGACUCAGCUUCUUGUCGCCCAGGGCCAGGAACCGGAGAAUGCUCAUAUAGUUUUGGUUUCGCCUAAUGCAAGGAAAAAGUGGCCAUCUAGCACGGGGUCACUGGUUCCCCCUCCACUGUGGCAGGAAGUCACUCCUGCCAUAGGUGGGGGGCGAGGAGCAUAGCAGGUGGGGGGAAGGGAGACUUAGCCCUCCAGCCCUGCUGCAGCAGACCACCUUAGCGUGCAAAUACGCUACAGCCAGGAUGCAAAGGGCAUUUGAGGCCACACUGGAUGCACAGAGGGCAGGGGCCCAGGAGUAACAGCAUCUGCACAGCAGAGAAUCAGAACAGUGAGGAUUCUAGAUGGCUGUCUUCAUUCCUGGGUCCCAGCUAGGCAAGAUCAGCUUGGAUUUGUAAGAAGGCCCCAGAGGAAACUUUCUGCUUUAGAAACAGUGCUAGUCGGGGGUCCAUCAGGCUAAUGACACAAGGAAAUAUCUUUUCUGACCUUCAGACAAAAUUCCUCCACACGUGAGGUCACUAUUGUGCUGCAAUUGGCUUUAAUGAGACUGUGGUGGGCCCUGAAAGGCCACAGGACACCCACAAGGUCAAAGGCAAGAGCUGAGCAGGUCCUUCUGAUGCUUAGAGGAGUGAGGUGUGUCUGGGCAGAUAACCCAAAUGCAUACUCUUGGGGGGAAGGAGUUCCAUUACCUGAGUUUCUUUUCACUUCCUGAAGUCAAGUGGCUGUUGACGAACCCUAAGGAGGUUCCAUUGAACAUGAACGACACCCCCACGGCUCCCUUGUUCCCUACAACGAAGAGCAGAAAGAAGAAUCAAAACAUCAAACAGACACACUGCCAAGGGGCCAGAAAUCACCCGGAGGCAGGGUGAGAGGGGCAGGUCAGUGGUUCCCAAAGGGAAACCUGGACCAGCAGCUGAACACCACCUGGGAACUUGUCAGAAGGACAGAUUCUCAGCCCCGCCCCAGACACACUGAAUCGGAAAUCCUGGGAUGGGGCCCAGUAAUCUGUGUUUGACAAGCCCUCCAGGGUCAGCGGUGGGCAAAUGCUGGCUCACUGCCAGCUACAAAUGGUUUUACGUUUGUAAAUGGUUGGAAACAAAUCAAAAGAAAAACAGUCUUUUUGUGAUUCAUGAAAAUAUGAAAUUCUAAUUUCAGUGUUCAUAAAGAACAUGUUGCUGGAACACAGCCAUGCCUAUUCACUUCUGGAUUGUCUGUAGCUGCUUUCAGACUACGAUGGCAGAGCUGAAGCGUUGAGACAGUUACGUGGUCCACAGAGCCUAGAAUAUUCACCAUCUGGCCUUCUACGGAAAACGUUUGUCAACCCCUGCUCUGGGUAAUCCUGACACACGCAGCUGAGAACCUGCUCUGUCCAAUACAGGCACAGGCCACGUGUGACUAUCGAACACCUGAAAUGUGGCUGGUACAAAAUGAGACGGGUUGUGAGUGUAAAAUACACAUCAGAAUUGUGGCCUUGGUAAGAAACACAGACUGUAAAAUAGCAAAUCACUUUUUACAUUGAAUAUCUAUUGAAAUAAUUGUAUUUUGGAUGUAUGAAGUUCAAAAAAAUCUAUUAUUGAAAUUAA